AAUUUUUUUUUUUUUUUUAUAGGCACAUAAUGUAUUUAUAUUUUUUAUUUUUGUUAUUGUUCUCAGUUCUCGUGCCUUAUGGUUCUUUUAGAGCUAAGGAUCUUUUGUCAAACCAUUGAAUUAUGUAUGUACUAGAUUAAAUUAUUAGGUCCACAUGUGUCAAAAAACAUCUUAGAAGCUGCAUGAAAGUGGGAAAGCCAGCUUGGAAAAGACGAAACCAAAUAAAAUUUCCAACAAUUUAACAGAUUUGGUUGCUCUCUUGACUGAGAGAUGGUCGGAGGUGGAGACAACGGAUAAGAGAAAACCUUUUAGCCAGAGGGUCUGUGGUCCAAAAGUUCAAUGAGGUUUCGUACGACUUUUUGUGAAGCCCCUGGAGCCAAUUUAAUCACUGACAAUAGUUCUCCGGAGUUUGACCAUCCGAUUUGGAAACAGGAGCCGACCUCAAGAAAAAGCACAGGAGAAAGGCUGGUUUGAUUGACACAAUGACACAGGAGGAUUAUGGUUAGGCACGACAUUAAUAAGAACGACAUGAAAGUCCUGUUAUAUACUCAUCAGUCAUAGCAGAAUCAGUGACACUUCCAAUUAAGAGCCAUUCAAACAGCUAAAAUCAGAAAAACCCAGUCUCAAGUUUUUAACUGAAAAAACUUCUGGAAAUCAAAAUUCAAACUGAUGAACAUGACUUUAUUUGUGAUGAUAAAGCUGCCAUGAGCUUGUACAUGAAAUCAAAAGGAGUGGGAAAGACUGAGGAAGAAGAAUAAAUCACCAAGAGAUAUGCCCAUCGAGAGAGCAAAAUUAGACGCAACUGGGAGCGCACAAAUAAUCCCGACAAGUGGUUCAAUAAGACGAAAUAAAUAAAGGAAUUUCAUAAAAACACAUUUUAUUAGUUUCC